GCAUAUCAAUAAGCGGAGGAAAAGAAACCAACAGGGAUUGCCCUAGUAACGGCGAGUGAAGCGGCAACAGCUCAAAUUUGAAAUCUGGCUUCGGCCCGAGUUGUAAUUUGUAGAGGAAGCUUUAGGCGCGGCACCUUCUGAGUCCCCUGGAACGGGGCGCCAUAGAGGGUGAGAGCCCCGUAUAGUUGGAUGCCUAGCCUGUGUAAAGCUCCUUCGACGAGUCGAGUAGUUUGGGAAUGCUGCUCAAAAUGGGAGGUAAAUUUCUUCUAAAGCUAAAUACCGGCCAGAGACCGAUAGCGCACAAGUAGAGUGAUCGAAAGAUGAAAAGCACUUUGAAAAGAGGGUUAAAUAGCACGUGAAAUUGUUGAAAGGGAAGCGCUUGUGACCAGACUUGCGCCGGGCUGAUCAUCCGGUGUUCUCACCGGUGCACUCUGCCCGGCUCAGGCCAGCAUCGGUUCUCGCGGGGGGAUAAAGGCCCAGGGAAUGUAGCUCCUCCGGGAGUGUUAUAGCCCGGGGCGCAAUGCCCUCGCGGGGACCGAGGUUCGCGCUCUGCAAGGAUG
rnacentral:rRNA from 2 species